UGGGGAAUAUUGCACAAUGGAGGGAACUCUGAUGCAGCGACGCCGCGUGAACGAAGAAGGCUUUCGAGUCGUAAAGUUCUUUUAUAUGGGAAGAUAAUGACGGUACCAUAAGAAAAAGCCCCGGCUAACUACGUGCCAGCAGCCGCGGUAAUACGUAGGGGGCUAGCGUUGUCCGGAAUCACUGGGCGUAAAGGGUUCGCAGGCGGAAAUGCAAGUCAGGUGUAAAAGGCAGUAGCUUAACUACUGUAAGCAUUUGAAACUGCAUAUCUUGAGAAGAGUAGAGGUAAGUGGAAUUUUUAGUGUAGCGGUGAAAUGCGUAGAUAUUAAAAAGCAUACCGGUGGCGAAGGCGGCUUACUGGGCUCAUUCUGACGCUGAGGAACGAAAGCGUGGGUAGCAAACAGG
rnacentral:rRNA from 1 species